UGAAAAACAAAAGCGCCAGGACUUAAAUCAAGGUCGGACAAUAGUGAUUUAAGUUGACGAGGACAGGGUUUAUCGAGACUUCGGCGGAUGCCCUGCGGUGUAUCACCACCGAUAGAGAUCUUACAAAGACUCCAAGUGAUUGGAGGGACAAAUAAGAUCGGGUGAAACAA
rnacentral:ncRNA from 1 species